GAUGGCGACCGGCGCACGGGUGAGUAACACGUAUCCAACCUUCCGUUUACUCGGGGAUAGCCUUUCGAAAGAAAGAUUAAUACCCGAUGGUAUGGUGAAGUUGCAUGAUUGCACCAUUAAAGAUUAAUCGGUAAACGAUGGGGAUGCGUUCCAUUAGGUAGUAGGCGGGGUAACGGCCCACCUAGCCGGCGAUGGAUAGGGGUUCUGAGAGGAAGGUCCCCCACAUUGGAACUGAGACACGGUCCAAACUCCUACGGGAGGCAGCAGUGAGGAAUAUUGGUCAAUGGGCGAGAGCCUGAACCAGCCAAGUAGCGUGAAGGAUGAAGGUCCUACGGAUUGUAAACUUCUUUUAUAAGGGAAUAAACGAGCCUACGUGUAGGUUUUUGCAUGUACCUUAUGAAUAAGCAUCGGCUAACUCCGUGCCAGCAGCCGCGGUAAUACGGAGGAUGCGAGCGUUAUCCGGAUUUAUUGGGUUUAAAGGGAGCGCAGACGGGAGAUUAAGUCAGCUGUGAAAGUUUGGGGCUCAACCUUAAAAUUGCAGUUGAAACUGGUUUUCUUGAGUGCGGUCGAGGUAGGCGGAAUUCGUGGUGUAGCGGUGAAAUGCUUAGAUAUCACGAAGAACUCCGAUU
rnacentral:rRNA from 1 species